rnacentral:rRNA from 1 species
GACAGAGACUGCAAGCGUUAUUCGGAUUCACUGGGCGUAAAGGGUGCGCAGGCGGCCGAGUGUGUGAGGCGUGAAAGCCCGGGGCUUAACCCCGGAAUUGCACCUCAAACUACACGGCUAGAGCAUUGGAGAGGGUAGCAGAAUUCAUGGUGUAGCAGUGAAAUGCGUAGAUAUCAUGAGGAAUACCAGAGGCGAAGGCGGCUACCUGGACAAUUGCUGACGCUCAGGCACGAAAGCGUGGGGAGCAAAAGGG